ensembl:lncRNA
AUGAGAAAUGCGCAUGCGCACGUCGUAGGUCCUGGGCGUCGCAUGACGACACGCCGGCCCUCUCCAGACGCCUCUUCCCGUCAUUCUCCGCCACAGAAAGGGCGGGGGGAAGGGGGGGUAAGCGUGGGGCGGCCUGACGACAUGUACGUCAUUUACGUCACGUUAGCGUUUCUUGACGGUCCCCAAAGCUGCUGUGACCCUCACCUAAGCAGCCUUUGGGUCUGUGGCUGGCUUCACGUCUCCCCGUGUUUCUCCCGCCCUUGCCAUGGCAGAGAGUUAUGGAGGAGGACGGGCCGAGCUGAGCCCCGCAGCAGGCCCCGGCAGAGGCUGCUAGCGGCCAUCUUGAGGCGGCCGGAGCCCUGCGCGCGCUCCUGCCCGAGCUCCCAUCUCGGGCCCCGCCCCCUAACCCCUCCCCCGAGGCCAGGCGUGCGCGCCCCUACUAUGGCCUUUUCCGCCUCGGCCCAAUCGUGCGCGCCCCCGAAGACGGCCGGCUCCUGGCCCCGGCUGGACGCGGCCGGGCGUGCGCGUUCCCGGGCCUCCUCCCCCGCCCUCCCCCACCGUGGUUGGCCGCCGGAGCUGGAGCCGCGGGCGCCCCGCGCGCUGUGGGAGCGGAGCGGGAGGGGCGGGGGAGGAGGCCCGGGAACGCGCACGCUCGGCCGCGUCCAGCCGGGGCCAGGAGCCGGCCGUCUUCGGGGGCGCGCACGAUUGGGCCGAGGCGGAAAAGGCCAUAGUAGGGGCGCGCACGCNGGGGAGGGGGCCGAGACAAAGCGGCCGCUAAUGAAUGGGGACCGGGAUCCGGAUCCGGCUGCUCCUCCUCCUCCUCCGCCUCCUGCAGCCGGGCCGCCGGGCCGAGGCCGGGGCCGGAGACCGCCGCGGAGAUCCUGUGCGGACAUAUGGUCGGGAAAGUGGAGAAGUGUGGGCGAUGAAGCCGAGGCACCGGGAGAAGAUGCUGAAAGGCCGGGCUUGCAUUGGGUCCUCACUGCUCUGAGGGCUCGGGCUAGCGGACCUCGGGUUGGGCUCCUUCCUGGCUCUGGCCCUGGGCCGACCCUCCCUCACCAGGGAAGAUAGGAAGGGGCAGCGGUCAGCUCGUUGACUUCUCUGCCCGUAAACAAGGCCUGAGUUUGCGUUCACCUCACUAGGAAAGAAUGUGAUCUACCAGUUUGAACCAGGCUGGCCAGGGGCAGGCAAACUCAGCCGGGUUUGUGUCAGAAGGCUCUCAUUUGCUGGGCGCUUGGACCGAGGCAGCCCAGGCUUGGAUGCUCCGGCUGCGAAGUGGACCAGAAAAGGAAACUGCCAGAAAGUGUGUUUGGGGAGAUUCGUUUAACAUUCCUAAAGUAUUUUGGUUGGGAAAAAACAUGGAAAGAAAACUUUUUUACCCAGGAUCUCUUGAGAGAAGAUAAACCUUGAGGGAGCAGAAGGGAUUUCAUUGGUUGUUGGUGCAGGGAAACUUCUUCUAUAGGGCUAGUCUGGACUGGACUCCUUUUGACUCCUGAUUGCAUGGCGUUCCCUGGGCACAAGCUCUUCAGCAGCAAGGCUACAGGUCUGAGGCUGCAGAGGCCGAUAGGAAUUAAAGGCCUGCGUGCGUGGUCUCUGCUCAGGAGAAUGCUGGCUUUGGGACUUCCACGAGGGAAUUAUUUGGAACGCGCAUUCUUAAGACCAAUGUGUGAAAAGGUACAUUCUCCUCCACCAAUGUGCAUACAGCCUGGGGCCCCCAGUGCCACGGUCCCUGUGGCUGGCCAGAGGCUGCAAUCUGGGCUGUCUACGACAUGGACCCGUAAAGGGGCGGCAGGCUCCUGGUCCACUUGGGCUGGGACAGGUGGAAGGAACACUUCAUGAAAUACGAAUGCCUGAGACUUCCCUUUCCCCAGGAUGCAAGGAUUUUGUUGGCUUCUUCAACUUGGAAUUUUAAAAAGUUAUUGAUGACUUUUUGUGCUUGGGAUCAAGUUUGAUAGACUUUAUUUCAUUUUUUGUGGUUUCAGUUUGCCCCCUUUUUGUCCCCUUGGCCGUCAUUGAAGAGCAGAAAAUGAUCUGAGGGUGUCUGGUCUGGUUUAUGUGUUUAAUGCUUCCC